rnacentral:rRNA from 1 species
UACGGAGGGUGCGAGCGUUGUCCGGAAUCAUUGGGCGUAAAGGGCGCGUAGGUGGCCUGCUAAGCGUGCGGUGAAAGUCGGGGGCUCAACCCCCGAUCGGCCGUGCGAACUGGGAGGCUUGAGCACUGUAGAGGCAGGCGGAAUUCCGGGUGUAGCGGUGGAAUGUGUAGAGAUCCGGAAGAACACCGGUGGCGAAGGCGGUUAGCUGGGCAGUAGCUGGACACUGAGGCGCGACAGCGUGGGGAGCAAACAGGG